rnacentral:rRNA from 1 species
GACGAACGCUGGCGGCGUGCUUAACACAUGCAAGUCGGACGGUAAGGCCCUUCGGGGUACACGAGUGGCGAACGGGUGAGUAACACGUGGGUGAUCUGCCCUACACUUCGGGAUAAGCCUGGGAAACUGGGUCUAAUACCGGAUAGGACUCCGGACUGCAUGGUCUGGGGUGGAAAGCUUUUGCGGUGUGGGAUGGGCCCGCGGCCUAUCAGCUUGUUGGUAGGGUGAUGGCCUACCAAGGCGACGACGGGUAGCCGGCCUGAGAGGGUGACCGGCCACACUGGGACUGAGAUACGGCCCAGACUCCUACGGGAGGCAGCAGUGGGGAAUAUUGCACAAUGGGCGCAAGCCUGAUGCAGCGACGCCGCGUGAGGGAUGACGGCCUUCGGGUUGUAAACCUCUUUCAGCAUCGACGAAGCGAAAGUGACGGUAGGUGCAGAAGAAGGACCGGCCAACUACGUGCCAGCCGCCGCCGUAA